GGCAGUGUGGUGCAGUGUUUUGUAUUUUGAACUGGCACAGAGAUACCAGGGUUCGAAUCCCCAUUCUGCCA